rnacentral:rRNA from 1 species
UACGUAGGGUGCGAGCGUUAAUCGGAAUUACUGGGCGUAAAGCGUGCGCAGGCGGUUCGUUAUGUCCGAUGUGAAAUCCCCGGGCUCAACCUGGGAAUGGCAUUUGGGACUGCAAGGCUGGAGUACGGCAGAGGGAGACUGGAAUUCCUGGUGUAGCAGUGAAAUGACGUAGAUAUCAGGAGGAAUACCGAUGGCGAAGGCAGGUCUCUGGGCUGAUACUGACGCUCAUGCACGAAAGCGUGGGGAGCAAACAGG